UUAAGGCACGCGGUGAAUGCUA
rnacentral:miRNA from 3 species